AUUGCAUACUAUGUAUAAAACAUUACGGAAUUAUCAUGCAAAAUUCUUUUCAUAUUUUCGCAUGAGUACACAAAGUUUUGAUGAAGUUCUAUUAUUGCUGAGACCGAGUAUAACCUAUCAAGAUACGGAUAUGCGUCUCGCUAUUUCACCUAAAGAAAGACUGGCACAACUGAACAAAUCUCUUGCCAAAGUACACUUUUAACGUUGAUGUUUGCAUAAUCUUUUAAUUUUUUGUCAUAAAGACACCUCUUCAAUUAAUUCUUCGAUAUUCUCUUCUUGCAACAUUCCUGACGUCUGUACUCGGCGAGCAUAGAGAGAAGAAUGUGGAACAAAAGAACGACUGUUUAGUCGUACGUGUACCCAUGCUCAUGGACUGAACUGUCGUGUCGUUUAUGGGUCGUAUGCUUCAGCCGACAACGACAGAACAGUCAGCCGACGGUUAAGUCUUACGUGUGCGCUGGCCCUUACAGUUUAUGUUAACUUCGUUAAGUUAACAUGAGUAGAAUGUCAUUUGUGAUAUACACAGGAAUAAGUAAGGUUGUGUGAAGGAUUCAAUGACAAAGACCCUUAAAGAAGACGACGCCCUUCUCGCUGCGCUCCACCUGAAUGGUCUCGUACGUGGCCUUGUUGCACUCCAGCUUGAAGGAAGAGGCGCUCUUGUAUCCCACGAAGCCUUGUUCGCUCUUCAGCACGAGGAUUGGCCUGCAGAAGAAAGACCGUCAAGUUGCAGAUCUUUGCCCACUGACGCGCAGCGGGUCUGUAUUUCAAGCCCAGCUUCUUGGAUUCCUUACAAGCGAACUUUGUCAAUAAAUUUGCUUCGUCCCUGA